rnacentral:rRNA from 1 species
AGUGAACGCUGGCGGUAGGCCUAACACAUGCAAGUCGAACGGCAGCACAGUAAGAGCUUGCUCUUACGGGUGGCGAGUGGCGGACGGGUGAGGAAUACAUCGGAAUCUACUUUUUCGUGGGGGAUAACGUAGGGAAACUUACGCUAAUACCUCAUACGACCUACGGGUGAAAGCAGGGGAUCUUCGGACCUUGCGCGAGUGAAUGAGCCGAUGUCGGAUUAGCUAGUUGGCGGGGUAAAGGCCCACCAAGGCGACGAUCCGUAGCUGGUCUGAGAGGAUGAUGAGCCACACUGGAACUGAGACACGGUCCAGGCUCCUACGGGCGGCAGCAGUGGGGAAUAUUGGACGAUGGGCGCAAGCCUGAUCCAGCCAUACCGCGUUGGUGAAGAAGGGCUUCGGGUUGUAAAGCCCUUUUGUUGGGAAAGAAAAGCAUCAGGUUAAUCCCCCGCUGUUCUGCCGUUACCCAAAGAAUAAGCACCGGCUAACUUCGUG